GUGCUCACUUUGGCAGCACAUAUAGUAAAAUCAGAGCGAUGCAGGAAAGAUUAGCAUGGCCUCUGCAUAAGGAUGACAUGAAAAUUCAUGAAGCUUCCAUAUUUUUU